rnacentral:rRNA from 1 species
CCUACGGGUGGCAGCAGUGGGGGAUAUUGCACAAUGGGGGAAACCCUGAUGCAGCUACGCCGCGUGUGGGAAGACGGUCCUCUGGAUUGUAAACCACUGUCCCCAGGGACGAAGAUGACGGUACCUGGGGAGGAAGCUCCGGCUAACUACGUGCCAGCAGCCGCGGUAAUACGUAGGGGGCGAGCGUUGUCCGGAAUUACUGGGUGAAAAGGGAGCGUAGGCGGGACUGCAAGUUGGGUGUCAAAUCUACCGGCUCAACCGGUAGCCGCACUCAAAACUGCAGUUCUUGAGUGAAGUAGAGGCAGGCGGAAUUCCUAGGGUAGCGGUGAAAUGCGUAGAUAUUAGGAGGAACACCAGUGGCGAAGGCGGCCUGCUGGGCUUUUACUGACGCUGAGGCUCGAAAGUGUGGGGAGCAAACAGGAUUAGAUACCCUGGUAGUC